GACGGAGGAUGCAAGUGUUAUCCGGAAUCACUGGGCGUAAAGCGUCUGUAGGUGGUUCGAAAAGUCCACUGUUAAAAAUUGAGGCUUAACUUCAAAGAUGCCGUGGAAACUUUCAAACUAGAGUAUGGUAGGGGUAGAGGAAUUUCCAGUGGAGCGGUGAAAUGCGUAGAUAUUGGAAAGACCACCGAUGGCGAAGGCACUCUACUGGGCCACUACUGACACUGAGAGACGAAAGCUAGGGGAGCAAAUGGG
rnacentral:rRNA from 1 species